rnacentral:rRNA from 1 species
CCUACGGGAGGCAGCAGUGGGGAAUAUUGGGCAAUGGGCGCAAGCCUGACCCAGCAACGCCGCGUGAAGGAAGAAGGCUUUCGGGUUGUAAACUUCUUUUAAGAGGGACGAGCAGAAGACGGUAACUCUUGAAUAAGCCACGGCUAACCACGUGCCAGCAGCCGCGGUAAUACGUAGGUGACAAGCGUUGUCCGGAUUUACUGGGUGUAAAGGGCGUGUAGCCGGGCUGACAAGUCAGAUGUGAAAUCCCAUGGCUCAACCCCGGAACUGCAUUUGAAACUGUCGGUCUUGAGUAUCGGAGAGGCAGGCGGAAUUCCGAGUGUAGCGGUGAAAUGCGUAGAUAUUAGGAGGAACACCAGUGGCGAAGGCGGACUGCUGGACGACAACUGACGGUGAGGCGCGAAAGCGUGGGGAGCAAACAGGAUUAGAUACCCGGGUAGUC